UCGAUUGUCCCAGCCGCCGGGGUAAUACGUAGGGUGCAAGCGUUAUCCGGAAUUAUUGGGCGUAAAGGGCUCGUAGGCGGUUCGUCGCGUCCGGUGUGAAAGUCCAUCGCUUAACGGUGGAUCCGCGCCGGGUACGGGCGGGCUUGAGUGCGGUAGGGGAGACUGGAAUUCCCGGUGUAACGGUGGAAUGUGUAGAUAUCGGGAAGAACACCAAUGGCGAAGGCAGGUCUCUGGGCCGUUACUGACGCUGAGGAGCGAAAGCGUGGGGAGCGAACAGGAUUAGAUACCCUGGUAGUCCACGCCGUAAACGGUGGAUGCUGGAUGUGGGGCCCGUUCCACGGGUUCCGUGUCGGAGCUAACGCGUUAAGCAUCCCGCCUGGGGAGUACGGCCGCAAGGCUAAAACUCAAAGAAAUUGACGGGGGCCCGCACAAGCGGCGGAGCAUGCGGAUUAAUUCGAUGCAACGCGAAGAACCUUACCUGGGCUUGACAUGUUCCCGACGAUCCCAGAGAUGGGGUUUCCCUUCGGGGCGGGUUCACAGGUGGUGCAUGGUCGUCGUCAGCUCGUGUCGUGAGAUGUAGGGUUAAGUCCCGCAACGAGCGCAACCCUCGCCCCGUGUUGCCAGCGGAUUAUGCCGGGAGCUCACGGGGGACCGCCGGGGUUAACUCGGAGGAAGGUGGGGAUGACGUCAGAUCAUCAUGCCCCUUACGUCCAGGGCUUCACGCAUGCUACAAUGGCCGGUACAACGGGAUGCGACAGUGCGAGCUGGAGCGGAUCCCUGAAAACCGGUCUCAGUUCGGAUCGCAGUCUGCAACUCGACUGCGUGAAGGCGGAGUCGCUAGUAAUCGCGAAUCAGCAACGUCGCGGUGAAUGCGUUCCCGGGCCUUGUACACACCGCCCGUCAAGUCAUGAAAGUGGGCAGCACCCGAAGCCGGUGGCCUAACCCCUUGCGGGAGGGAGCCGUCUAAGGUGAGGCUCGUGAUUGGGACUAAGUCGUAACAAGGUAACCA
rnacentral:rRNA from 1 species